AGCGAACGCUGGCGGCAGGCCUAACACAUGCAAGUCGAACGAACUCUUCGGAGUUAGUGGCGGACGGGUGAGUAACACGUGGGAACGUGCCUUUAGGUUCGGAAUAACUCAGGGAAACUUGUGCUAAUACCGAAUGUGCCCUUCGGGGGAAAGAUUUAUCGCCUUUAGAGCGGCCCGCGUCUGAUUAGCUAGUUGGUGAGGUAAAGGCUCACCAAGGCGACGAUCAGUAGCUGGUCUGAGAGGAUGAUCAGCCACAUUGGGACUGAGACACGGCCCAAACUCCUACGGGAGGCAGCAGUGGGGAAUCUUGCGCAAUGGGCGAAAGCCUGACGCAGCCAUGCCGCGUGAAUGAUGAAGGUCUUAGGAUUGUAAAAUUCUUUCACCGGGGACGAUAAUGACGGUACCCGGAGAAGAAGCCCCGGCUAACUUCGUA
rnacentral:rRNA from 1 species